rnacentral:rRNA from 1 species
CCUACGGGAGGCAGCAGUGAGGAAUUUUCCGCAAUGGGCGAAAGCCUGACGGAGCAAUACCGCGUGAGGGAUGAAGGAUUUUGGUCUGUAAACCUCUUUUCUCAAGAAAGAAGUUCUGACGGUACUUGAGGAAUAAGCAUCGGCUAACUCCGUGCCAGCAGCCGCGGUAAUACGGGGGAUGCAAGCGUUAUCCGGAAUGAUUGGGCGUAAAGCGCCUGUAGGUUGUUUAUUAAGUCCGUUGUUAAAGCCUAGGGCUCAACCCUAGAAAAGCAAUGGAAACUAGUAGACUAGAGUAUGGCAGGGGUAGAGGGAAUUUCUAGUGUAGCGGUGAAAUGCGUAGAUAUUAGAAAGAACACCGGUGGCGAAAGCGCUCUACUGGACCAUUACUGACACUCAGAGGCGAAAGCUAGGGUAGCAAAGGGAUUAGAUACCCCUGUAGUCCUAGCCGUAAACGAUGGAUACUAGAUGUUGUGCAUUAUGUACAGUAUCGUAGCUAACGCGUUAAGUAUCCCGCCUGGGGAGUACGCUCGCAGGGUGAAACUCAAAGGAAUUGACG